rnacentral:rRNA from 1 species
ACUCAAAUGAAUAGACGGGGGCCCGCACAAGCGGUGGAGCAUGUGGUUUAAUUCGACGCAACGCGAAGAACCUUACCUGGGCUUGACAUGCACCGGACAGGUGUAGAAAUACACCCUCCCUUCGGGGCCGGUGCACAGGUGCUGCAUGGCUGUCGUCAGCUCGUGUCGUGAGAUGUUGGGUUAAGUCCCGCAACGAGCGCAACCCUUGCCUUUAGUUGCCAGCGGGUGAUGCCGGGCACUCUAGAGGGACUGCCGGUGGUAAGCCGGAGGAAGGUGGGGAUGACGUCAAGUCCUCAUGGCCCUUACGUCCAGGGCUACACACGUGCUACAAUGGCUGGCACAGAGGGUUCCAAUACCGUGAGGUGGAGGCAAUCCCAAAAAACCAGUCUCAGUUCGGAUUGCAGUCUGCAACUCGACUGCAUGAAGGCGGAAUCGCUAGUAAUCGCUGAUCAGCAGGCAGCGGUGAAUACGUUCCCGGGCCUUGUACACACCGCCCGU